UGUCCCUAUUUGCCAGCACGUAAUGGUGGGACUCUAAGGAGACUGCCGGUGACAAACCGGAGGAAGGUGGGGGCGACGUCAAGUCAUCAUGGCCCUUAUGGGAUGGGCUACACACGUGCUACAAUGGCAGGUACAGAGGGCAGCAAUACCGCGAGGUGGAGCGAAUCCCACAAAGCUUGUCGUAGUCCGGAUUGGAGUCUGCAACUCGACUCCAUGAAGUCGGAAUCGCUAGUAAUCGUAAAUCAGAAUGCUACGGUGAAUACGUUC
rnacentral:rRNA from 1 species